CCAAAACAGAUAGAUCUUUGAACAGGAAAGGAAUUGAGGGUUAUGGUGAAUGGGAGGGUAAGUGGAGCUGAGUCCGCAAAAAAGAUCAGCGGAACGAGCUGGAAGAGACAGAUGGCCUACUCCUGUUUUAUUUCUUAUGUCCGUACGUCCUUAGAUUGCCAUCCUUGUCAUUCCUCCUUCCCUGGAAUAGGCCAGUUCUGAACUGAAGAGUAGGUCUUUCAAUAACUCCCACGUAUCAAAUGUUGACUUGUUCAAUAAAAGCUCCUCCCAAUUAAUACUGCUCAGCUCCUACCUAACACUGAUGUAAUUUUCCCUCCCCCAAUUUCGUCCCUUCCCACAAGGUCCUGAUUAUCCAUGGCUGUCUUAAAAUGUAAGGAGAUGCGAUCGCCCAUUUACGAAGCUCCUGGUUCACUGUUUUUCCCAAGUGGGAAUCAGCUACAGGCUUUCUUGUUCCACGAUGGGGGAGGAAAUGGCCUCGUGGUAUUAUUGCUGGACUGUUAAUUCAGAGACUGAGAUAACAUUCUGGGGACCUGUGUUCAAAUCCCAGCACAGCAGAUGGUGGAAUUUGAAUUCAAUAUAAAAGAAAAUCAUGAAUUAAGAAUAUAAUGAUGACCAUGAAUUCAUUGCCAAAUGUCAGAAAAAGUCAGCUGGUUCACUGAUGUGCUUUAGGGAAGGAAACUGCCACCCUUACAUGAUCUGGCCCACAUGUGACUGCAGACCCACAGCAAUAUGAUUGACUUUGAACUGUCCCCUGGGCAAUUAGGGAUGGACAAUAAACACUGCGUAGCUAGGGAUGUCCUCCUCCCAUUAACAAAUAAAUAAAAUUGGAUUCUACAUCUUCCGAUCCAAGAUCGUUUCUUGCUCUCAUACUAACUUCUUUGCGAACAGUCACUUUCCCUCCUGCCUGUCUUUUUGGAAUGUCGUAUAGCCCUGCGCACUUAGCUCCAGUGUUGAUCUCCUUGUAACCAUGUCUUUGUAAUAGCUAUAAAAUCAUGCCCGUCAACCUAGAAAUGUGCUAUUAAUUUGUUGAUUUUGUUCUGAAUACAAUGAGCACGCAAGCAAAGAGCCAUGAAUUUAGCUUUAUCACUUGAUUUCACCUCUUGACACUAUUUACAGCUGUUUUCUGUUUGUACAUGCUGUCUUUCCCAGUACCACGCUGAGUAUUGUUAUCCCGAUAGUUCUUUCGUCUCAGUCCGUGUGUAUUCCUGGGCGAAUGUGCUCGUGUGGUCUCAGGAGUUGCGGAGGUCACGGCUCUGGGACAGCCGUUUCAUCGCCCUAUGCUGCAGGAAAAAAGCAAUGCAAGUGCCAUUAAUUUUUUGCACGGUGAGCUGCUGCACACUAACCGGUCUCACACCAUUACCAUCACCUUGCCCUUGUGAAGGCAGAUAUGGAUAAGGUUCUCAAAGCUGACAGAAGAUUGAAACCACUCUAAUCCUGUGACGAUGAACCUGCCCCGGAAGAGAGAGCCCAGAGAAUUGCCAAAGCUGUCCGCAAACAGUCAAUAGAAGUGAAGGAAAAUUGGGAACAACUGAAAAUCCGUGCGAGCAACUGGCAGAAACAGGUGGAAAAGGCGUUGGAGAAACUUCAAGAACUGCAGAAAGUUCUGGAUGAUCUUGAGGCUCAGGUGAUAACAGCUGAGGGGGUCCACACUGAUCGGCAACCUGUGAGUGACCUGCUUAUUGACUCAUUGCAGGAUCACAUUGAUAAAACUACAGUUAAAAGUCUACGCCUUUUCAGUUCUCUGCUGCAUAAUGAAGACUUGGAACAAUUUUUUUCUGCAAAGUAGAAAAUCAGUGUGGUUUGUUUUCCAAAAUGUGAUGUCAGCUUUCCUGGAGCAAGUCUGUUUUCCUUCGGAUGAGACGACUUUCAGACAUACUCCCUUUAUUAUGAGAUUUAAUUACGGUAAAAUGAGGAGGAUUUUUAUUCACUGAGACACACAUGACUAUAUGUUUAAAGCAUUGGAAAAUGCGUUCUGUUCGGACUGUCAUGUUAUCUGGUGUUUGUACCAGGCUUUCCGAUUAAAUGCAAGUGAUUAAGGAUGCUAA